GGGUGGCCUAGUGGUUAGAGUGUAGAGGUGGCAGGGUAGCCUAGUGGUUAGAGUGUAGAGGUGGCAGGGUAGCCUAGUGGUUAGAGUGUAGAGGUGGCAGGGUAGCCUAGUGGUUAGAGUGUAGAGGUGGCAGGGUAGCCUAGUGGUUAGAGUGUAGAGGUGGCAGGGUAGCCUAGUGGUUAGAGUGUAGAGGUGGCAGGGUAGCCUAGUGGUUAGAGUGUAGAGGUGGCAGGGUAGCCUAGUGGUUAGAGUGUAGAGGUGGCAGGGUAGCCUAGUGGUUAGAGUGUAGAGGUGGCAGGGUGGCCUAGUGGUUAGAGUGUAGAGGUGGCAGGGUAGCCUAGUGGUUAGAGUGUAGAGGUGGCAGGGUGGCCUAGUGGUUAGAGUGUAGAGGUGGCAGGGUGGCCUAGUGGUUAGAGUGUAGAGGUGGCAGGGUAGCCUAGUGGUUAGAGUGUAGAGGUGGCAGGGUGGCCUAGUGGUUAGAGUGUAGAGGUGGCAGGGUAGCCUAGUGGUUAGAGUGUAGAGGUGGCAGGGUAGCCUAGUGGUUAGAGUGUAGAGGUGGCAGGGUAGCCUAGUGGUUAGAGUGUAGAGGUGGCAGGUAGCCUAGUGGUUAGAGUGUAGAGGUGGCAGGGUAGCCUAGUGGUUAGAGUGUAGAGGUGGCAGGGUAGCCUAGUGGUUAGAGUGUAGAGGUGGCAGGGUAGCCUAGUGGUUAGAGUGUAGAGGUGGCAGGGUGGCCUAGUGGUUAGAGUGUAGAGGUGGCAGGGUAGCCUAGUGGUUAGAGUGUAGAGGUGGCAGGGUAGCCUAGUGGUUAGAGUGUAGAGGUGGCAGGUAGCCUAGUGGUUAGAGUGUAGAGGUGGCAGGUAGCCUAGUGGUUAGAGUGUAGAGGUGGCAGGGUAGCCUAGUGGUUAGAGUGUAGAGGCGGCAGGGUAGCCUAGUGGUUAGAGUGUAGAGGCGGCAGGUAGCCUAGUGGUUAGAGUGUAGAGGUGGCAGGGUGGCCUAGUGGU